GAAAUCAGUCAAUUAGGGAGUAAUCCAGUGCAGGUGUGAUGUUGAGUGAUGCAAGGUAGUGCAGCAGGGAAUCUCCCUCUCUCCUGAGAGGGGCAGUAGCAGCAGCAACAGCAGCAGUAGUAGUGGUGAUAGCAGCCAUUCAGUUCAGCCACUCAAGGUGUACUUCAGGUGAAAAUGGAGGUGAACAUGAAGGUACUCAUUGGGGACAAACAUGUCCUGGCUGACAGGCAACCACCCAACCUCAAACAGCAUCUCUCAAACAAACUGAAGAACUUCCACCUUCACCAACCCUUCAAUGAAUCCAAAUGCCUCCUGUUGCCCCACAUCAAUAAAGACCACCCAAUCACUGGACCUAAUAACAAAGAGUACAACACCCAAGGUUCAUUUUUCUGUAAUUCUACCAAUGUCAUACAUGUCAUCAUCUGCUUACAAUGCCCCUCUGCUGUAUACAACAAGCAGACACUGAUCUGACAUCAGCUUGAAGAAAACCCCACAAAAGCCUGUGGCAAAACAUUUCAAUUCCCUGAACACAAAAUCACUGACCUCAGGAUUGCUGUCCUCAGAGACCGGGUGGUAUUAAAAAUCAGCUUCAACAGGAAAUUGCAGAUCAAGAAUUCAUCCACAAACUGGAUUGUGUUAAGUAUGGUUUAAACAGGGACUAUGGAUUCUUAUCUCCAUAGAUGACUGGUAGGGGGUGCAUGGGGGUGCAUGUGCCCCCCCCACCGAUGGGUCUGUUGCCCACUCUGAUGGCCAACACUGAUGCUGUUGGUAGGGUUGGUGCCCCACCCCCAACAGGGCCACCGCCAUUGGUGGCUUCUGCGGGUGUCCCCCCAGAUUCAGGAGGCACCAGUCACUCAUGCUUAUGUCAUUACCUGGAUUACCAUGGGUUUACUACUAGAUUGCUUUUCUCUCCUAGCACCAUCCCCUGCCCCCAUCUCUCGCUCUCUCUCUCCCCAUCCUCCCUUGUCUUUUGUAUUCUAAUUUCUCCCUUUUCUUCUUACCCUGCUUCCUUCAUGUCCUUUCACAACAUCUGAUGAAGUGAAAUUGGGUUCAAAAAAGUUUUUGCUCUCUCUCUCUCUCUCUCCCUCU